rnacentral:rRNA from 1 species
GGGUUGUGAGGUUAAGCGACUAAGCGUACACGGUGGAUGCCCUGGCAGUCAGAGGCGAUGAAGGGCGUACUAAUCUGCGAUAAGCGCCGGUAAGGUGAUAUGAACCGUUAUAACCGGCGAUACCCGAAUGGGGAAACCCAGUGUGAUUCGUCACACUAUCAUUAACUGAAUCCAUAGGUUAAUGAGGCGAACCGGGGGAACUGAAACAUCUAAGUACCCCGAGGAAAAGAAAUCAACCGAGAUUCCCCCAGUAGCGGCGAGCGAACGGGGAGGAGCCCAGAGCCUGAAUCAGCAUGUGUGUUAGUGGAAGCGUCUGGAAAGGCGCGCGAUACAGGGUGACAGCCCCGUACACAAAAGCGCAUGUGCUGUGAGCUCGAUGAGUAGGGCGGGACACGUGGUAUCCUGUCUGAAUAUGGGGGGACCAUCCUCCAAGGCUAAAUACUCCUGACUGACCGAUAGUGAACCAGUACCGUGAGGGAAAGGCGAAAAGAACCCCGGCGAGGGGAGUGAAAAAGAACCUGAAACCGUGUACGUACAAGCAGUGGGAGCCCCACCACCAAAGCAUUUGCUGUACCGCGUUGACGGAGCGAAGCGACGUCAAACCGAUAAAACAGCAGUGUAAAGUGAGC